GUCCUGAUAUGCUGUUUGAGUAUCCUGAAACGGGCUUUUCAAGAUCAGUAUAUCAAUAACUUUAAAAAUAGGAGUGCAUAGUGGCCCGUAUUGCAGGCAUUAACAUUCCUGAU
rfam:[Actinobacillus] muris strain Ackerman80-443D cont54, whole genome shotgun sequence.